rnacentral:lncRNA from 1 species
GUGGAGCUGUUUAAUUCCCAAAAUUCAGGUCACAUAAUCCUAUGGAGCAUAAACUAUACUUAAAAUUACUUUUUCCCUCCUUGACAACUAUUAUUAGGUAAAUAUAGGAGAAAAACUCGGAAACCCUAGUUACUAGUCUUAAAUUUUCUUUGGCUUACUCCACAUAAAUUAAACCCACAGAAAGCUGACAAAAUCUUUGUUAGACUGAGUUACCCUUUCCCUGAAAUCACAAGCUGAGUUUCUUAAUAGGCUUUCAAUCAGCUUUUUAUUUUGUGUAUUUCUGUCUAUGUUCUUAGUAGCCCUUAAAGUGAUUUUUAACUAGGUAGGGAUUUGUGUGUGUGUGUGUGUGUGUGUGUCCUUGUGUCUCUGUGUGUGUCUGUUGGGGGGAGGGCUUGCGGGAGAGGUCAGGAGGCCAAGCUCUUGAGUAGCUCAAAUUGACCUCAUAUUCAUCCUUUAGCCUCAGCUUCCUCUUGAGUGCUGGGAUUAUAGGUAUAUGACACCCUGCCUGGCUUUAUGAAUUAGAUACUUUCCUCUGUGCUAGGCUUGUUAAAAAAUAGCCAAGUAAUAGUAGUGUAUAUAAACAACCAUUUUUAUGUUGCUCUAUGGAGUUUUCUGUGUGGGAGAAUACUUAGCCACAGAUUAUAAAGUGAUAAACUGAAUAUCAUAGGAUAAAUAACAUAAAUUUAGAUGAGGAAAAUUUUCAGAAAGAUUCUUUAAAACUGGUUUGAGGUAAUGGAUCAGGCUUGAAUAACUGGUUGUAAUUAAACAAGUAUGGAAAUACCUGUAGGCUUCUUACAUUUCAAAACUGGGUUUGUCCUCAGUGCAGUGGCCAGAAACAUUUUUUUUUUGGUAGUGUUCUUUAUGAUUCUAAAUCUGCACACUAAAUCUGAGAAUCGGGUGGUUUAGGCAAUAAAGGAUCUAGCUGAUUCUUGUGUUGACCUGCUCAGCUGUCAUUUUUCUGAUGUUUAUCUUACUUGUCUUUAUUGGUGAUGGAGAUGGGAGGGGUGGGUGGGAAGUCUGUCCUAUCACUGUGUCAUCCUGAGGCUUCCUGAACUUGGGAAGUUUAGUUAUAUAGGAAAACUUCCCACCAUAUUCAGCAUGUUCAAAAGAGGAUUAUUUUUGUAAAAUUAUUAAAAAUUUUGCUUUUCUCAAGAGUAUUUCAUAUCUUUGAAUUCAAAUUACUUUUAAAACAUCAUUGUUUUUAACAAAAAAGCAAAUGAUUACUUGUUAUUUCAAAUAUAUAACAUCAAAUUAUUGUUAUAUAUGUGAGUUUAGUUUUUGAUGGUAAAAAAAGUCCAUUAAAAGUCUUGGCAGUUUGCUGUU